GCUCUUCCAACUGAGCUACGCGGUCAGGACGGUUCGAGUAAGUGAUAUUUCGGAACAGUAUCUAGUUCCUUCAAUACCAAUGUGUUCUUGUAAUAUGAAUUUUUUUUUUUUUGUGUUGGUGUUGUGUACUCAGGUGAAUAAUAUGUUUGUGAUGUUACUCUGAGUGCAUAUCCACACCGGGCGAGCUUGAAAAAUAUGCCCGGC